UACGUAGGGUGCAAGCGUUGUCCGGAAUUAUUGGGCGUAAAGAGCUCGUAGGCGGUUUGUUGCGUCGGCUGUGAAAUCCCGAGGCUCAACCUCGGGUCUGCAGUCGAUACGAGCAAACUAGAGUGUUGCAGGGGAGACUGGAAUUCCUGGUGUAGCGGUGGAAUGCGCAGAUAUCAGGAGGAACACCGGUGGCGAAGGCGGGUCUCUGGGCUGUAACUGACGCUGAGGAGCGAAAGCGUGGGUAGCGAACAGG
rnacentral:rRNA from 1 species